rnacentral:rRNA from 1 species
AUACGGAGGAUGCGAGCGUUAUCCGGAUUUAUUGGGUUUAAAGGGUGCGUAGGCGGACUGGUAAGUCAGCUGUGAAAGUUUGCGGCUUAACCGUAAAAUUGCAGUUGAUACUGUCAGUCUUGAGUGUGCAUGAGGUGGGCGGAAUUUGUGGUGUAGCGGUGAAAUGCUUAGAUAUCACGAGGAACUCCAAUUGCGAAGGCAGCUCACUGGGGCAUAACUGACGCUGAUGCACGAAGGUGUGGGUAUCAAACAGGAUUAGAUACCCUGGUAGUCCACACAGUAAACUAUGAAUACUCGCUGUUUGCGAUAUACAGUAAGCGGCCAAGCGAAAGCAUUAAGUAUUCCACCUGGGGAGUACGCCGGCAACGGUGAAACUCAAAUGAAUUGACGGGG